CCUACGGGUGGCAGCAGUAGGGAAUCUUCGGCAAUGGACGAAAGUCUGACCGAGCAACGCCGCGUGAGUGAAGAAGGUUUUCGGAUCGUAAAACUCUGUUGGUAGAGAAGAACGUUGGUGAGAGUGGAAAGCUCAUCAAGUGACGGUAACUACCCAGAAAGGGACGGCUAACUACGUGCCAGCAGCCGCGGUAAUACGUAGGUCCCGAGCGUUGUCCGGAUUUAUUGGGCGUAAAGCGAGCGCAGGUGGUUUAUUAAGUCUGGUGUAAAAGGCAGUGGCUCAACCAUUGUAUGCAUUGGAAACUGGUAGACUUGAGUGCAGGAGAGGAGAGUGGAAGUCCAGGUGUAGCGGUGAAAUGCGUAGAUAUAUGGAGGAACAUCAGUGGCGAAGGCGACUAUCUGGCACAUAACUGACGCUGAGGAGCGAAAGCGUGGGUAGCAAACAGGAUUAGAUACCCCAGUAGUC
rnacentral:rRNA from 1 species